GUGGGGAAUAUUGGGCAAUGGGCGCAAGCCUGACCCAGCAACGCCGCGUGAAGGAAGAAGGCUUUCGGGUUGUAAACUUCUUUUGCCAGGGACGAAGAAAGUGACGGUACCUGGAGAAUAAGCCACGGCUAACUACGUGCCAGCAGCCGCGGUAAUACGUAGGUGGCGAGCGUUGUCCGGAUUUACUGGGUGUAAAGGGCGCGUAGGCGGGGAUGCAAGUCAGGUGUGAAAUCUAUGGGCUUAACCCAUAAACUGCACUUGAAACUGUAUUUCUUGAGUGUCGGAGAGGUAGACGGAAUUCCUAGUGUAGCGGUGAAAUGCGUAGAUAUUAGGAGGAACACCAGUGGCGAAGGCGGUCUACUGGACGAUAACUGACGCUGAGGCGCGAAAGCGUGGGGAGCAAACAGG
rnacentral:rRNA from 1 species